UCCUACGGGAGGCAGCAGUAAGGAAUAUUGGUCAAUGGGCGGAAGCCUGAACCAGCCAUGCCGCGUGCAGGAAGACUGCCCUAUGGGUUGUAAACUGCUUUUGCCAGGGAAUAAAUGUACCGAUGUAUCGGUAUUUGAGUGUACUUGGAGAAUAAGGAUCGGCUAACUCCGUGCCAGCAGCCGCGGUAAUACGGAGGAUCCAAGCGUUAUCCGGAAUUAUUGGGUUUAAAGGGUGCGUAGGCGGCAUGCUAAGUCAGGGGUGAAAGACGGUGGCUCAACCAUCGCAGUGCCUUUGAUACUGGUGUGCUUGAAUGUACAUGAGGUAGGCGGAAUGAGACAAGUAGCGGUGAAAUGCAUAGAUAUGUCUCAGAACACCAAUUGCGAAGGCAGCUUACUAAGGUAUGAUUGACGCUGAUGCACGAAAGCGUGGGGAUCAAACAGGAUUAGAUACCCUGGUAGUCCACGCCCUAAACGAUGAUAACUCGAUGUUAGCGAUAUACAGUUAGCGUCCAAGCGAAAGCGUUAAGUUAUCCACCUGGGGAGUACGCCCGCAAGGGUGAAACUCAAAUGAAUUGACGGA
rnacentral:rRNA from 1 species